rnacentral:rRNA from 1 species
UCAAGCUACUAAGGGCAUACGGUGGAUGCCUAGGCGCCAAGAGCCGAAGAAGGACGCGGUAAGCUGCGAAAAGCCACGGGGAACUGCAAGCAAGUAUUGAUCCGUGGAUAUCCGAAUGGGGAAACCCGGCCAUCGUCAUGGAUGGUCACCCGCAAGGGAGGGAACCUGGGGAACUGAAACAUCUAAGUACCCGGAGGAAGAGAAAUCAAACGAGAUGCCCACAGUAGCGGCGAGCGAAGAGGGCAGAGCCCAAACCGAGAAGCUCCGGCUUUUCGGGGUUGAGGACCGGCAGAAUCGAAGUCAGGCCUAGUUGAAUUACCUGGAAAGGUAAGCGAGAGAGGGUAAAAGCCCCGUAGACGAAAGGCAGAGCAGAGAGGCCGAGAUCCAGAGUACCACGAAGCACGAGGAAUUUUGUGGGAAGCAGGGGGGACCACCCUCCAAGGCUAAAAACUACUUGGCGACCGAUAGCGCAUAGUACCGUGAGGGAAAGGUGAAAAGAACCCCGGGAGGGGAGUGAAAUAGAACCUGAAACCCUGCACUUACAAGCUGUGGGAGCACAUUACUUGUGUGACCGCGUACUUUUUGUAGAACGGGCCAACGAGUUACGUUAAGUAGCAAGGUUAAGCACUUAAGGUGUGGAGCCGUAGCGAAAGCGAGUCUUAAAUGGGCGAUUAAGUUACUUGGCGUAGACCCGAAACCGGGCGACCUAUCCAUGAGCAGGUUGAAGCGAAAGUAAAAUUUCGUGGAGGACCGAACCCACGAGCGUUGAAAAGCUCGGGGAUGACUUGUGGAUAGCGGUGAAAUUCCAAUCGAGCCCGGAGAUAGCUGGUUCUCCCCGAAAUAGCUUUAGGGCUAGCCUCAAGCGUAGAGAAACGGAGGUAGAGCACUGAAUGUCCUAGGGGGUAUUGCACUUACCGAAGACUAUCAAACUCCGAAUGCCGUUUUCUUUUACUUGGGAGUCAGACUGUGGGUGAUAAGAUUCAUAGUCAAAAGGGCAACAGCCCAGAUCGUCAGCUAAGGUCCCUAAAUGUACGUUAAGUGGUAAAGGAUGUGGGAUUGCACAGACAACCAGGAUGUUGGCUUAGAAGCAGCCACUCAUUUAAAGAGUGCGUAAUAGCUCACUGGUCGAGUGAUCCUGCGCCGAAAAUUUCCGGGGCUAAAACGUACUACCGAAGCUACGGCAUCAUUUAUGAUGGGUAGGGGAGCUUCGUAUGCAGGCUGAAGCAUGACCGUAAGGACAUGUGGACAGUAUACGAGUGAGAAUGUUGGCAUGAGUAGCGAGACGUGGGUGAGAAUCCCACGGGCCGUAAACCCAAGGUUUCCAGGGGAAGGUUCGUCCGCCCUGGGUUAGUCGGGACCUAAGCCGAGGCCGAAAGGCGUAGGUGAUGGACAACAGGUUGAUAUUCCUGUACCGCCAAUAAGCGUUUGAGAGAUGGAGUGACACAGUAGGAUAAGCUAACCGUACUGUUGGUUAUGUACGGCUAAGCAUUGAGGCAGUCUAAAUAGGCAAAUCCGUUUAGACAAUGCUAGGAUGUGAUGGGGAAGCCCUCCGGGGCGAAGUAGCUGAUUUCACACUGUCAAGAAAAGCUUCUAUCGAGUUUAAAGGCGCCCGUACCGUAAACCGACACAGGUGGGUGAGGAGAGUAUCCUAAGGCCAGCGAGAGAACUAUUGUUAAGGAACUCGGCAAAAUGACCCCGUAACUUAGGGAGAAGGGGUGCCUGUCUAUGACAGGCCGCAGAGAAUAGGCCCAAGCGACUGUUUACCAAAAACACAGGUUUCUGCUAAGUCGCAAGACGAUGUAUAGGAGCUGACGCCUGCCCGGUGCUGGAAGGUUAAGGGGAUCUGUUAGAGCAAUCGAAGCAGUGAACUUAAGCCCCAGUAAACGGCGGCCGUAACUAUAACGGUCCUAAGGUAGCGAAAUUCCUUGUCGGGUAAGUUCCGACCCGC